rnacentral:rRNA from 1 species
GUUGAACGCUGACAGAAUGCUUAACACAUGCAAGUCAACUUGAACUUCGGUUUGGGUGGCGGACGGGUGAGUAACGCGUAAAGAACUUGCCUCACAGAUAGGGACAACAUUUGGAAACGAAUGCUAAUACCUGAUAUUAUGAUUAUAUGGCAUCGUAUAAUUAUGAAAGCUAUAUGCGCUGUGAGAGAGCUUUGCGUCCCAUUAGCUAGUUGGAGAGGUAACGGCUCACCAAGGCGAUGAUGGGUAGCCGGCCUGAGAGGGUGAUCGGCCACAAGGGGACUGAGACACGGCCCUUACUCCUACGGGAGGCAGCAGUGGGGAAUAUUGGACAAGGGACCAAGAGUCUGAUCCAGCAAUUCUGUGUGCACGAUGAAGUUUUUCGGAAUGUAAAGUGCUUUCAGUUGGGAAGAAAAAAAUGACGGUACCAACAGAAGAAGAGACGGCUAAAUACGUG